GGGAAACUAAUGGCACUCACGUUGUUUUUAAACCGGGCCGGAAUUUAUAGUUCCCAAUUGCAAAAUGCAGUCCAUUUAUACGAUAAGAAAAAUACGUCCGACGUCAAAUUCAGAUGAAAAAUGCAUUCUUCGCACAAGUAUGAUGAUCAUAAUCAAUAAUUAUAAUCAAGAUUAAUAAAUAAUCGAUUUUCACCAACCCUAUCAACGGCGAAAUUUGCAUUUUUUCCCCUCAACUUGGCAAAUACGCGAAAAAUGUGGAGUCUGCCGAAUCAUACGUCACUGGCUCGCGGUUGCCUUGCCGUUCGAAAUGAUCGCGGUACUCUAUGCUGAGCGAAUGGAAUUUCGUAUGUUUUUUCACACGAUGUGGCAGCUCUGAAUUCUAACCUACGAUUCUCGCAUCGUCGCAAUGUUUGUUUACAAGAGUAGCUACAGUUUGAUACAGUUGCAUCAUGUGAAUAUUUUCUUAAACCAAAGGAAUUUCUUCGUGAAUUGAUGGAAAUGAGUGCUAACUAUGUGAUAUUGGGAUUGAGAUUCAGUUCGUAUUAUUUUUCGACGCCGAUCGGUCUUGUGGCACGCAGGAAAAUAGCCCUGUUGCUAAGUGAAGUGUCAGUUCCAGUGAUGGUGCAGAUUUUGUGAUAAUCGCCAGCUGAUCAUUAAGUAUGUGCCUGGAACCUGGAGUUUUUCUGCUCACUGUGGAAGCAAGUGAAAACUACUGCUUUGACUUGGAAUUUUCUGGAGGAAAAGGAAAAGGUACAGAUAAUAUUUAUUUCUUGGCAUGCUGAAAGAGAUAGGGAAAUUUGUGAUGGGAAUUUUGGACCGUGACUUUCUUUCAAAGCUCCAUCAACUGACAUGAUCAGUGAAUACCUUUAUGAAAGAUGUUGCACUCUAGUACCUAAUUGUGUGAAGAGAGGGAAGUAAGCCCUGGGUCACUUGAUUUUAAAGGAGAGCCCACAUUUACUCAUUGAAAACAAGAUUGUUAGAGCUUUUAAUUUGAGUUAUUAUCCAAUUUUCUCCCCACAAUGGAAAACCCAUGAUCGAUUUGGAAGCAGGAACUAGCUAAAAAUCAAGUUUCUUAUUUUUUACUCAGGAGACUCAUUUCAGACUUACAAGGCUGGAAUGAUGUUAUUUAUACAAUUGAAUAAUUCUGUUUAUUCUUCUUUUGGAGAUCAUUUGUUGACUCACGGAUCCACAUUCUUAUGAAGGCAUCAUGUUCAUUUUAAGAUGAGCCCUGGGCUCCGUAUGAACACAUUUAUUUCAAGACUCAUCAGAAAUUUUAACUUCCUUCCUCUGUUAAAAUAUGGAUUAAUGAGUGGACAAAUACUGUCAAAAGAGAAUUAAAUAGGACUUUUAAAAAUAUAUAAAAAAAAAAAAAAAAAAAAUCAGCCCAAGUGACAUGUCCAUUUUCAGAUGAGCCCUGGAUUCCAUAAGAUGGCAUGCAUCUCACGGCUCAUCAGAUUUUUGACAUAAGUAUAUUACAUAUAUUCAUGGCUUAGAAGUUUAUUUUCUUGACUUCUGGCUGUGUUAAAAGCAGAAAUGAGACCAGCUUUAGGAUGAAAUCCUUGGAUUAACAUGAUUCUAGUACCACAUUAAUUUUUAGAGCAAUUUUGACUCAAUUUUUUAAUAAAUUCCUCUUCUUUGAGAAAGAAAUUUGAUUUUUAAGCUGAACUCCUACUUCCUUUGACCUGGAACUGCCCACUGUGUGCAGGGGCAGUGUAAUUAGUGAGCUGCAUGGGGUUGCUGGCCCUUGCUUGAGGUCAUUAGGGCUUGCGGGAGGUCUGCGGGGAGUCCGCGGGAGGUUCCUGGGUUUGGCGG
rnacentral:lncRNA from 1 species